rnacentral:tRNA from 2 species
GGGCUCGUAGCUCAGUUGGCUAGAGCGCGUCAUUUGCAAUGACGAGGUAAGGGGUUCGAUCCCCCUCGAGUCCA